CAGGUAGGAUGAAUUCUCAAGACCUGUUUUUUGCCACUUGAAUCAAGAACUUGGGGCUGGAGGAACCUAAAGGACCCCAUGCAGGAUCUCACAGUUUGAGGGGAAGAUGGAGGAGGAUAGAGUGGAAAGAGCAGCUUGGAGUCCAUCUCAGAGACUGGCCUGCAAGACUGACUGCAUGGACUUUCAAAACACUCAAGGGUUCGGGGAAAUACGGUGCUGUUUUGGCCUAUGAAUGAUCUGUAGCUUUGGAGCAGUCAAGAAGAGGUGCUGAUAAAGAAUGUGGCCAGUGCCUUGUGCUAGAAAAGAUGAUUUGCGUGGUGGUAUGCUGGGUACAUGAAAAACUGUAAUGCGGAGAAUAUUGGAAAAACCAGAUGAAGACAGAAUGUGGAGAAUGUCAAAUGCCAUGGUCUGUCCUGGUCCACUAGCUGAGAGAAGGAUAAUAGAGCAGAUGUGGGCAACAGCAUCGGCUGUUGAGCAUCUCAACAGAACACAAGAGGCCCUCAGAAGAUACUGCAAAUUCAAUUCCAGUUUCCUUCAUAUUACAAAUAAAUUAACAAAAAUAUUAAGAAAUGAAGCAACUUGUCACAAAUGAGGAUCAUAGAACACAAAGCCUUGCAUACAUUAAGUCUCAAAAUAUAAGUUGCCAGGGUAUAUGUUAUAUUAGUUAAUAAAUGAGGCAUACUUACAAAUCUGGGGCAUUUUUCACAUCAAAAUUGCUGUUGUUGUUUAAUAGAAUGUUUUCUUCAUUUGUCUGAAAUUGUUCAAAGGAAAGUGUAAUAGGAGAAUGAUGUGAAAAUAAAUACCCAAAUGCCUGUGAAUAGGCCAAAUAACUUACAAAACAUUUGGAAGAUAGCUUAGUACAAUAUCUUAAUGGGACAGCAAAAUAUUCAAUCCAAGUACCAUUGCCACACAGGCCUGGUAGACCUCUGGCUGCCACUAAAACUAUAAAUGCUUAUUGUGUGCAUCAUCCCAGAGGACCAGAGGUAUUUUCCAAGAACAAGAGCUCUGGCCAACUCUAGGAUUGGGUUGAAGGUAUACUGGACCUUCACUUUACAGGAUUUAUAAGGUAGAUUAUAGUUGAGUUUAUACUGUCACAGAAAUUAUCAGGCAUAGGAAGCUCUAGACGAUCUAGGAAUCCUGGAUAUUCUAAUUGUUUAAGCACUGCAGUGUGUUACAGCACAUAUUCUUACUUCAUAUUAUUUUAAAUACUUGAUUUAACCAGAUGACUGAUUUCCUGUGUUAGAAGAAGACAUUUCCUCUUUCUAUGCUUUAGUUAUUCCAUAACUCAAGAAAUAAUUAUACCAGCAUUUAAUAGAAACACAAAAUAAGUUACCACAAUAUGAAAAAGCUACGUUUAUAACAACAACCAUGACAGGCAUGUAGAAAAUGCAACAAGACUUUUGCUAGGCCUCAAAAUUUUAUUUAACAUCUGAUAGUUGAAACAAUAAAGGAGAAGUAUUAUUAGUAAAAGAAGCAAUAGAUCUAUCCUCAAAUGGCCAAACUAGUUCAGCGAUCCUCCCUCCCAAUAGCCAAUGAAGAUUAGAGGGCUGUUGAAGAGCAUAGAUGAUGAAGAAAUUUAAUAGUUAUAUAUAAGACUAUCACAUUCCCUUUUCUCUCUAGUCUAGUAAGAGUGCCUCUCUCUGACCCAGAGAGAUCAGAAUAUGUGUUAAAAAGGGAGAUGAAUGUUUCACUAACAUGUCCUUAGUUCCUUGCUUGAUACGUGGUAGCUACAAAAAUGCCUAAGUCUGCCUAUGCUGAUUUAGAACAGGUAUCUCCAGCUUGGAGGUGUCUUCUGGAGUUUGCAGAGGCAGAGAAAUGGUGUUUGUGUCUUGCCUGAAGAGUUCUGAAUGCUGGAGGUUGCCUAGAGUAGGUCUCAAUGGCAGCCAUAGAAAAAGAAUGCAAUGAAUUGGCCUCACUCCUGAAGUUUGUCAGGGCCAGCUGGUAUGCAUUUUCACAUGGACCCCUGGAGACCCAGCAAAUUAUCCAGGCUUGAAUAUUUUUGAAAGGACUCAGAUGCCUGCCAAGAGGAAAAAUGGACCAUUUAGCUUUUUUUUUUUUUUUUUUGGCCGGGAGAGAAAGGUGAGUUAUAGUUUCUCAAAUGAUCUAUUCCCUACAUCAUGAAAUGGUGCAGUGCAGAGAUACCCAGCAACAGAGGAGGGGCCUUUCCACUUUAUUUUGCACCCCUCCUUAGCUCCUGACCACAGAAUAGUUAGAAGCUGAGGAGGAGGUAAAGGAAAGAGGUUUCAAGAACAGGAAAGAAUAGCUUUUCCUACUUUUGGUCUCUAUGAGCCCUAAUUAGGCCCAAACAAAGAGCAAUGUCAUAUUUGAAGUCAGUGGGAGAAGAAAGAAUAAAUGGUCACUUUAUUUACCCUAUUGAAGAUAGACUGUUUGGUGUGCUAGUUAUCCUUGUUUUACAUUAAAAAGCAUUGAAAUGCAGAAAAAGAAGUGACCAAAGGGCACAGAGGUAGGAGAUGACAGAACCAGGAGUCUUGUAACUCCAAAAUCUAUUUCUUGAGAGAACGCCAUGUUCCCUCUAUAGAGAGACUGUAAAGAAAUUGAAUGCAAUACAUAUAUUCCAUGCUGCCUUUGUCUUUGGCAUUUUUAACUUAUAUUCUAGAAAGAUGAGAUUGAACACUGGGAAUGAGAGAUCCCAGCACUGUCUGGGUUACUGUGAGUAAGUAACUUCACCUUCUUAAGCCUUCUUUUUUUCAUUUAUAAAAUAAGGAGAUUGAAUCAAUUUAGCUAAAAUUUCCCUUUCAGAUUUUACAAAGAUAUAAUCAUAGCUAAAAGAGAGGGGGGAAGAGGAGGGAAAGAGGAGGAGGAAGGAGAAGGAGAAGGCAGGGAGAGGAAAGAAAAGGGAAGAGGAGAAGUAGGAAGGGAGGAGAGUGUAGAGUGAAACCAUGCAAGUGUAAGUAAGCUCCUGUAUUCAUUGCAUUAGUUGGAUACUUUACACCUUAAAUUUGCAUUUUUAUUCUGGAGAGUCAAAGAAUUGAAUUAGAACUUCAAAAAGUGUCUUUGCUUCCAUAUUUUCUCCUUCCUCCUUCCCAUCAUUUCUUUUACAGGCAUUGCUAAGCUGAUUUUACAAUAAAUAAAAAACACAUACUUUUCAAAGCUGGAAACACUUCUACCUCUCUGACAUACUUUCAGUUGUGGACAGUAAAGAAAAUUCUUCAACCUCUGAAAGCACCCCAAAACUGGAUUCCCAGGAGAAAUCAUGUAUGGAGUUUUUUAAAAAACACAUGAUGUGAAUGAGACUGGGAAAUUGUAACCUUGGAUAGGUUUGUUGCUGCAGCUUUCAAUCCUGUCACAAUAGGUGUCAUGAAGAUGAAUAAAGUUGGUGCCAUCUUCUGUUUUCAUUAUCAUCCUAGGGGCUGGGAUCGGAAAGGAUUCAUUUUGUGCCACUGUCAUUUCUCAUUACUAUCUUUGUCAUGAGAGUGAAUUAUAACAGCCCUCAGAUGCCAGCCAUGGCUUUGCUCUCAUUACAGACUUUCAUUCAUGGGAUGAAGAUGGUAAUAAGAGUGGAAUGUCGUGUAAAAACAGAGCUCACUUCAUGACAGUUGGAAAUUGGUGAUGAAAAUGGAAAAUGGCAGAAAAAAUUAAUCUUUUUUUUGUGGCAAAAAUUGCCCUGCAAACAGCAUUGUGCACCAAAGUUAUCCUUCACUGUGGCAAUGACAAAGCAAUGAAAAGGCAAACAAUGAACAGCUUUUGGAGCCAAUGAAGAGAUUCUGAAGUAUCCAUCUUGCUUCGUGCUUUGGAAAUGUAUCCCUUAAUCCUGAAUAAUGUAAUAGCCAUUUGGCUCCAAAAGUAAUGUGAUAGGCAAUUAGGAGCAGCUCUAUUCUCCCUUCAGUGAUGUGAAUAUCUCUAUUACAUACUGGCAGAAAGGCCCUACCAAAUUUAUGGAAGCCAUUAGAAUUUCUAUAUAGAGCACCUUUCAUACACACACACACACACACACUUGCACAUAUAUAUGCCCAUGUAUUUAUGUGUUCAUAUAUUUACAAUUCUGGAAAAAUAUUUAGCUUACUCAAUAAUAGUGAUAUUCAAAGACAGGAAUUCCACUUUUUAUUUUGUACAUACAAAUUUAAUAUAUUCUUGUAUUGAUUGAAUUUUUUAAACAAGAGCAUUCAACACUUAAAAUUACAGAAAUACUAACCUUCUUUACCAUCAAUAUAACUGGCUCUGUAUACCACUGAAUUACCUUUAUUACUGGAUUUUGUUUAUUGUCAAAUCUAGACACAUAUUCUCUAACUAAAGUUGAAGAGGAAAAAGUAGCAUUUACAUCCAAAUUUUGAAAUGAAUGCCCUCAGUCUCUUCUUUUACAGAUACUUUUUACCACUGUAUUCCAACUGUGAUGUUUUUCUUUUCCCACCCAGAGGUCGUAUCUUUUCAAAAUGUGGGUUACAGUGUGCUAAUGGUGGAAAGAACUUGUGUGAAAUGGUCUUUUCAUUAAAUUUCACUUAAA
ensembl:lincRNA